rnacentral:rRNA from 1 species
GGGCGAAUUGGAAGCUGCCCUUGAGUUUGAUCCUGGCUCAGAGCGAACGCUGGCGGCACGCCUAACACAUGCAAGUCGAGCGAGAAAGUGACUUCGGUUGCGAGUAAAGCGGCGGACGGGUGAGUACAACGUGGAUAAUCUACCCUAAGGUCUGGGACAACCCCGAGAAAUCGGGGCUAAUACCGGAUAAGACCACAGUGUCCAAGGAUACAGGGGUAAAAGUUUUAUCGCCUUUGGAUGAGUCCACGCCCCAUCAGGUAGUUGGUAAGGUAAAGGCUUACCAAGCCUAAGACGGGUAGCCGGCCUUAGCGGGUGAACGGCCACAUGGGGACUGAGACACGGCCCUGACUCCUACGGGAGGCAGCAGUGGGGAAUAUUGGGCAAUGGGCGAAAGCCUGACCCAGCGAUGCCGCGUGAGGGAUGAAGGCCUUCGGGUUGUAAACCUCUGUCAGGAGGGACGAUGGGACUAUGUCUUGACGGUACCUCCAGAGGAAGCCCCGGCUAACUCCGUGCCAGCAGCCGCGGUGAUACGGAGGGGGCAAGCGUUGCUCGGAAUUACUGGGCGUAAAGGGUCCGCAGGCUGUCAGGCAAGUUGGUUGUGAAAGCUCAAGGCUUAACCUUGGAAUUGCAUCCAAUACUGCUUGACUAGAGUCCAAGAGAGGUUGGCGGAAUUCCCGGUGUAGCGGUGAAAUGCAUAGAUAUCGGGAGGAACACCAGAGGCGAAGGCGGCCAACUGGCUUGGUACUGACGCUCAGGGACGAAAGCGUGGGUAGCAAACCGGAUUAGAUACCCGGGUAGUCCACGCCCUAAACGAUGGAUGCUAGGUAGGGGGAAUCUAUUUCUCCCUGCCGUAGUUAACGCAUUAAGCAUCCCGCCUGGGGAGUACGGUCGCAAGGCUGAAACUCAAAGGAAUUGGCGGGGGCCCGCACAAGCGGUGGAGCACGUGGUUUAAUUCGAUGCUAAGCGAAAAACCUUACCAAGACUUGACAUGUUAACUUAAGCCUAUACGAAAGUAUUUGGUGGUUCUGGGCUUGCCCAGAACAGUUAUCACAGGUGCUGCAUGGCUGUCGUCAGCUCGUGCCGUGAGGUGUCCGGUUAAGUCCGGUAACGAGCGCAACCCCUAUCUUUAGUUGCCAUCACUUCGGGUGGGCACUCUGAAGAGAUUGCCAGCGACAAGCCGGAGGAAGGUGGGGAUGACGUCAAGUCAUCAUGGCCCUUACGUCUUGGGCUACACACGUGCUACAAUGGCUAGUACAAUGGGCUGCGAACUCGCGAGAGAGAGCCAAUCCCAUCAAAGCUAGUCUCAGUUCAGAUUGCAGGCUGCAACUCGCCUGCAUGAAGUUGGAAUCGCUAGUAAUCGUGGAUCAGCACUGCCACGGUGAAUACGUUCCCGGGCCUUGCACACACCGCCCGUCACACCACGAAAGUCGGUUCUGCCCGAAGUAGCUGUGCUAACCUUCGGGAGGUAAGUUCCUAAGGUAGGGCUGGUAAUUGGGGUGAAGUCGUAACAAGGUAGCCGUAGGGGAACCUGUGGCUGGAUCACCUCCUUCUA